UACGUAGGGUCCGAGCGUUGUCCGGAAUUAUUGGGCGUAAAGAGCUCGUAGGCGGUUUGUCGCGUCUGCUGUGAAAUCCCGAGGCUCAACCUCGGGCCUGCAGUGGGUACGGGCAGACUUGAGUGCGGUAGGGGAGAAUGGAAUUCCUGGUGUAGCGGUGAAAUGCGCAGAUAUCAGGAGGAACACCUAUGGCGAAGGCAGCACUCUGGGACGUGACUGACGCUGAGACGCGAAAGCGUGGGGAGCAAACAGG
rnacentral:rRNA from 1 species